rnacentral:lncRNA from 1 species
UAGGGUGCACAUCAUCAACAAUAUUAUUAUUACUCUAAGGUUGGUAUCUUACAACUCAUUUAGAUUUUUUUUAUUUUAUUUUAGAGGACACCACAUUAAAUUGAUGAAUAGUCGUUUGUAUGCUUCUCAUGUUUUAGUUGGCACAUAUUUGUUAUCAUUGUCACAAUCAUGUUGCUCUGUUGUAUUUCUAUUGUUUUACCCGAUCUAAGAUCAUUUUUAAUAUAACUGGCUGCUCUCUUACUUGCCUUGUUUCAGAGAGAAAGAGAGAGAGAGAGAGGAAGUACUACAACUCUCUGUUCCAGUACUAUAAAGAAAAGUACAGGUCGAGUAGUACUCGAAACAAAAAAUUUGAAUCCAUGACCAUUUGGCAAUUUGUUAACUCAAGCUUCUUGAAGAUCUGAUACAUCCAACGAUCACAUGCUGCUUCGUACGUACGUACGGAUAGGGCAACGAUUUAAUUUGUUAUGCGACGUACGUACGACUACGCAUUUUCACGGAGUCGAGACCACAUGCACUAGCUAGCAGUUGUUUGGUUCAGAAAUAAUAUUCUUUAUAACAAACGCAAUACAAUUAAGAUUGUACUAAGCAUCAUGCAGAUGUGCAGCCAGUGCAGUGUGUGCAUGAGAAUAUUUCGGGUGAUUAAUAAACUACUACACGUCCGUACCUGCAAAUGUCGUUACCACCGUUGGAACGAACCAGCAUGCAUGAUCUAUCUGUCCACAUUUAGUUUAAUCAAUCAUAAAGAUAACUAUAAAAUUAUGGCUUUAGCAGGCGUUUAAACUAACCAUCAUGCGACGCAAAGUGUUGAUGCAUAAACUACAAACUAAAGUCAACGCGUGGAUCCGUACGAGAGGCUACCAGCAGCCGUACGAUCACAAUCCGAUCCUUUAGCACUAGCAUCACUGCAAGCAAAUUAAGGCAAUUAUUAACUUCUGAUUUCUAAUGAUGCUUCAAUAAAAAAAAGUACAUGUGCAGCAUCAUAUAUAAAUAUGUAGGAACAGUUAUUUGCUGCACAAAAGCAAGCAAAAAACCAAAAACUUUUCAAGAUAGUCUGUGAUAUCGAAUCUUACGGCACAUGCAUAAAGUAUUAAAUAUAGACAAAAACAAAAAGUAAUUGCACAGUCUAAAAAUCGCGAGAUGGAUCUUUUGAGCUUAGUUAGUCUAUGAUUAGACAAUAAUUAUCAAAAAAAAUAAAAGUGCUACAGUGACUAAAACAAAAAAAAAUCGGAACUAAAGAAAGCCUUAAAUUUUUGGUAUCUUGUGUAGCGUGUACAUUGUACUGGUUCGGCAUAAUACUACGUACAAUUUUCAAAUCUUGCGUUAGCUGAUGCAGUACUAGCUACCUACUAGCUUAGCUAGUACGAGUAUUCAUGUGCGAUGGCAUGCACCACACCAAAAAACUAAAACUUGUCAACAUUCCUCGUUACAUCAAAUUUUACAACACAUGCAUGAACCACUAAAUAGAGAUAAAAACAAAACUAAUUGCAUGUAAAUCACGAGAUGAAUCUUUUAAAUCUAGUUAAUUCAUGAUUAAAUAAUAAUUGCUAAAUAAAAACAAAAGUUCACAGUACCUAAAACUAAAAAAUUUUUGGAACUAAAGGCCCAUGUAUGCUGUCCGGAAGACUAUUCAUGUGCGAUGGCAUGCAAUUGACAAGUCACUCCCUGCUCAUGCGUGUAUACGUAUAUGCACUUGGGAAUUCGAUCGUAAGCACUUACGUCUGAUAGCUCCACUUGCAAUAUUUUAACUUUUUAAACUAUGGCCUUGUUUAGUUCACCCCGAAAUCCAAAAAAGUUUUCAAGAUUCCCCGUCACAUCGAAUCUUGCGGUACAUGCAUGAAGCAUUAAAUAUAGACGAAAACAAAAACUAAUUACACAGUUUAUCUGUAAAUCGCGAGACGAAUCUUUUGAUCCUAGUUAG